AUAUACAUGUUAUAAACCACUGUACGUAUGGUUACUGUAUGUAACUUACUAAACAUACAUAACAUGACUUAACUUUGAUACUUUUUUUGGUACAUUCCAGAAAACCAGGACCCCCUCCAUGAUGCAGGCUAUGGGGCCACAUAAAACUUUGUCCAGGGUUACUACAUAACAUAAAGAACCCCCUGAAUGAUGUAGGCUAUGGGGCCACAUAAGACUUUGUGCAUCCAGGGUUACAUAGCACGACAACUUUAAACUAAAGAACCCCCUGAAUGAUGUAGGCUAUGGGGCCACAUAAGACUUUGUGCAUCCAGGGUUACAUAGCAUGACAACUUUAAACUAAAAAGUAA